GCUCAUGUAGCUCAAAGGAUAGAGCAUUCCUAUGUACCGGGACGGGAAACUAACCGGUUCGAGUCCGGGCGUGGGCU
rnacentral:tRNA from 1 species